rnacentral:rRNA from 1 species
AAAGGAAUUGACGGGGACCCGCACAACCAGUGGAGCGUGUGGUUCAAUUCGAGACAAAGCGAAGGACCUCACCAGGGUUUGACAUGUUAUCGUUUUAACCACCCAGAAAUGGGAGGCUAUCCGCAAGGAUGAUAGCACAGCUGCUGCAUGGCUGUCGUCAGCUCGUGCCGUGGGGUGUUCCCUUAAGUGGGACAACGAGCGCAACCCCUAUCCAAUGUUACAAGUGUCAUUGGAGACCGCCCACUCUCAGAGUACAGAACUGUUUUUCUGUAUUGUGAGAGUGGGAGGAAGGAGGGGACGACGUCAAGUCAGCACGGCGCUUAUGCCCUGGGCCACACACACCCUACAAUGGCGAAUAACAACGGGACGCAAGGUAGUAAUGCCAAGCAAAUCUCUUAAAUUUCGCCUCAAUUCAGAUUGAGGUCUGCAACUCGACCUCAUGAAGUUGGAAUUGGUAGUAAUCGCGGAUCAGCAGGCCGCGGUGAAUACGUUCUCGGGUCUUGUACACACCGCCCGU